UACCAGCGGUUGCCUUCUUGAUUUAGAGAAAUCGGAUUCAAGCACAAACAUCAUAUUCCAGCCUUGGUUCCUACCAGUUCCUUGCAUGAAAAUAUCACUGCCUCCACAGUACUCGUGAUUCCAUUCCAGCAGCAGCAAGCAAUCACUAUUCGAGUGCUUAUCGCCAACAUUUCACAGCAAGCUCAGCAGCAGAACCACCUUCAACCACAACAUCAGAAAAUUAAGAUUUCUUCCAGACCAUGACCAUCAUCCUAAAGGUCGGUAGUAAUAACGUUCAACCAACGGUACAACCUGGUCAGCAACCGCAAUUAGUGCAAUAGAUCCAAGCCAAAUGUAGAAGACCAUUGACCAACUGCAAAAAAGAUAGCAACAACACAUUCAAACACAGUAGCAGCAGCAUACUAUACUGUACCAUGCGGUGUGCAGGACUUUUUUAUUCAGUUGGUGCGGCAAGAUCGAACACCAACAACAUGGUAAUCACCCAGCAAGAGAACGCAGUGAUAAUGGGCCAACAGAAAACACAACAUCAAGAUGCUCGGAAUGGACUUUCUCUUUCGAACAAACAUAAUGGCACGUCAUGUUCAAUCGGCUAACCGUUUGGAAUAAGCGCUCAUCAUUGGUUUCAUGGCAGGGAAGUGAGCAGGCAAAAGAAGGCAUCGUUUUUUCCGCAAGGUCGCUCUGGUCAAAAUUUCAGCGGAUUGCAAGGAAUAAACCACCCGAGGGACAGUACCCGUGCUGAUUCAGGACGAUUUCCCAUACUUUGUACCUUGCUAUUGAAUUUUAAUACCCGAUCGAAACGAUGGCAAGCGCUGCGGAUAACUGGGUCAAAAAGACGACGGAUCAAGAAAUUUCUGCACACGGUUAGCGAACUGAGUACAUAUCACCAAGGAUAAGGAUUCAGAGCCGGCGGCUGGCAGUCCAGAGAAAGAGAAUGCGGAAAAACCUAGUCCACCGGCAGUAGAACCAAAGCUGCACCUGAUGUUUGGAGUUCGGUAGCUACGGAAAUUCUGACUCUAGCAGCUCCUGAAGAAAAACAAGCUGCAAGAGAAAAUGGAGAAACACCUUCCUCCGCGGAAGAUGCAGAGGCAUUCAAGUAAGUCGAAAUCUGCAGAAAAUUUUGAUUAGGACAUAAGGAACAUUGACAGCCUCUCUUUGUUUACUUUCUCUUUUGAU